rnacentral:rRNA from 1 species
UACGAAGGGGGCUAGCGUUGCUCGGAAUUACUGGGCGCAAAGCGCACGUAGGCGGCUUUCUAAGUCGGGGGUGAAAUCCUGGAGCUCAACUCCAGAACUGCCUUCGAUACUGGAGAGCUCGAGUCCGGGAGAGGUGAGUGGAACUGCGAGUGUAGAGGUGAAAUUCGUAGAUAUUCGCAAGAACACCAGUGGCGAAGGCGGCUCACUGGCCCGGUACUGACGCUGAGGUGCGAAAGCGUGGGGAGCAAACAGG